rnacentral:rRNA from 1 species
AUUGAACGCUGGCGGCAGGCCUAACACAUGCAAGUCGAGCGAGCGGCGGACGGGGGAGUAAUGUCUGGGAAACUGCCUGAUGGAGGGGGAUAACUACUGGAAACGGUAGCUAAUACCGCAUACCAUCAAAUGUGCCAAGAUGGGAUUAGCUAGUAGGGGGGGUAACGGCUCACCUAGGCGACGAUCCCGAGCUGGUCUGAGAGGAGGACCAGCCACACUGGCACUGAGACAAGGUCCAGACUCCUACGUGAGGCAGCAGUGGGGAAUAUUGCAAAAUGGGCGGAAGCCUGAUGCAGCCAUGCCGCGUGUGUGAAGAAGGCCUUCGGGUUUUAAAGCACGUUAAGCGAGGAGGCGUUACUCGCAGAAUAAGCACCGGCUAACUCUGUGCCAGCCGCCGCGGUAAUUC